AGUGAACGCUGGCGGCAGGCUUAACACAUGCAAGUCGAACGCCCCGCAAGGGGAGUGGCAGACGGGUGAGUAACGCGUGGGAAUAUCCCCUUUGGUUCAGGAUAGCCCCGGGAAACUGGGAGUAAUACUGGAUAAGAUCUACGGAUGAAAGAUUUAUCGCCGAAGGAUUAGCCCGCGUAAGAUUAGCUAGUUGGUGAGGUAAUGGCUCACCAAGGCUACGAUCUUUAGCUGGUCUGAGAGGAUGAUCAGCCACACUGGAACUGAGACACGGUCCAGACUCCUACGGGAGGCAGCAGUGAGGAAUAUUGGACGAUGGGCGCAAGCCUGAUCCAGCCAUGCCGCGUGAGUGAUGAAGGCCCUAGGGUUGUAAAACUCUUUUAGUUGGGAAAAUAAUGAUGGUACCAACAGAAAAAGCUCCGGCUAACUUCGUGCCAGCAGCCGCAGUAA
rnacentral:rRNA from 1 species